rnacentral:rRNA from 1 species
UACGGGGGGGGCAAGCGUUGUUCGGAAUUACUGGGCGUAAAGGGCUGGUAGGCGGCCAACUAAGUCAGACGUGAAAUCCCUCGGCUUAACCGGGGAACUGCGUCUGAUACUGGAUGGCUUGAAUCCGGGAGAGGGAUGCGGAAUUCCAGGUGUAGCGGUGAAAUGCGUAGAUAUCUGGAGGAACACCGGUGGCGAAGGCGGCAUCCUGGACCGGCAUUGACGCUGAGGAGCGAAAGCCAGGGGAGCAAACGGG